rnacentral:rRNA from 1 species
UACGUAGGGUGCAGGCGUUAAUCGGAAUUACUGGGCGUAAAGCGUACGCAGGCGGUUUGCUAAGACAGGUGUGAAAUCCCCGGGCUUAACCUGGGAACUGCGCUUGUUACUGGCAAGCUAGAGUGUGGCAGAGGGGGGUAGAAUUCCAGGUGUAGCAGUGAAGUGCGUAGAUAUCUGGAGGAAUACCGAUGGCGAAGGCAGCCCCCUGGGUUAACACUGACGCUCAUGUACGAAAGCGUGGGGAGCAAACAGG